rnacentral:rRNA from 1 species
CACGUAGGCCGUUUGGUAAGUCAGGGGUGAAAUCCCGCGGCUCAACCGCGGAAUUGCCCUUGAUACUGCUGGACUUGAGUUCGGGAGAGGGUGGCGGAAUUCCAGGUGUAGGAGUGAAAUCCGUAGAUAUCUGGAGGAACAUCAGUGGCGAAGGCGGCCACCUGGACCGAUACUGACGCUGAGGUGCGAAAGCGUGGGGAGCAAACA